rnacentral:lncRNA from 1 species
AGUCUUUGCAUCUGUGCCAGACCCACCACACUUAGCAGAUGUAGCAGCAACUGCCAAAGGAUAAAGCAAGGAUCCAGUGCUAAAUGCCACCAAAAAUGGAGGAAGCAGAUAAGGAAGAGGAAAAAGAGGAUGAAGAUGAGAAGGAGGAGAACAUGGAGCAGAAGAGGGAGGAAGAGAAGGAAAAAAGAGAGAAGGGGGAGAAGUAAGGAAGAGGAUGAGAAAAAACAAGAGGAGGAAGAAAACAUCUAAGGUUUGAAGAAUUCAUAUUCUAUCUAGCGUUAUAAAUUUUUCACUAGAAUCAUAAGAUAACUGUAUAGAAGGGAGCUUAAGAAACUCAAAACUGAAACUAUUGUCUUUCCAUUUCCCCCCUUUAAACUGCUUCUCUUUCAUUUUACCUUCAUUAUAGUGGGUCUUGAAAAAAAUCAUCCUUUUUGCACUGCAAACUAAAAAAGCUCUUGGCAUUUCUCAUACAAAAGAGGUGCCAUAAUUUCAUGCCUUUGCAAACACACACUGUGAGCAAUCAAGGGAAAAAGAAAAUUAAAAACUAAUUCUGCUGUUUAUUCUACUCAUUUAUUUUAUCAGUCAUCUCAUUCUUACACUGAAUAACAAUCAACAGGAUUUGAUAGACACGCCUAGGGGAGGCUAGACAUCUUCUCUCAAAAUCUCCAGAAAGCUAGAAAGAAAAGCCAAAUUACAAGGCAAUGGGGAGGCGUCUCUAAUUAUGCAAUCAAAAGCACCCAGCACUAACAUUUCCAGGCAGUGGAAAACUUCUGAAAUCAGAAGUUACAAUGGGAUAUUAAUAACUUAAAACCUGGAGUUUCUCAAAUAUUUGACAGCCCAAAAUCAUGACAAGAAGGACCCCAGAAAAAUAUAGACUUAGAAGAAUGGUGACCAGUUACUAACGUUUAUCUGUCUGCAGCUCACCACAGCUACAUGAUUCUCCCUCCUUGAAUUUUGAUAGUUAGAGUUUACCUUGAGGCCCAUGAUGAUUCCUUUAGUAUAAUUCUACUUACACCUCAGUAUCAUCAAGGAAGUGAUUUAUAAUGCCUGAAACCAUAUUAUCCAUUGGAGAAAAGGUCAUCAUUUCUGAGACUCUUCUCAAGAGUUUGGGUGGGAGCUGUACAGGAUGAGAGUCAUUUACUUUAUCCUUAAAUAUCAACUUUUCAAGUAAUAAGGAAGCCUAAUUUUACUCAAAACAGUAAGAAAGUGGGCAAAAGAGCACACUACUAAAAGUGCUACUGAAACAUGU